rnacentral:lncRNA from 1 species
CUGGCUCUCGCUCUCAGAUUCCUCGGGGUUGGACACACCAUCCAGCGACGUCUGUAGGUAGCGCAGCCCAAUUGUAAUGGUCACCUGGUGGUGGGAGAGGAGAUUUAGAGGCAAUCUGGGAGAAUCGCUGGGAGCUGGACCAUUAGGAAACCACAGGAGCCUCAAAUUGAGGGUCCCAGAGAGGACUCAACCUGAGCACUGUGGAGUGUGGGUUGGUGACAGCCUGCCCCACGCUGCCCUGUCCUCAGUGCUCAACACACCUGACUCUUCUCCAGCCUCAUGUCAGACCCCUCUCCUCCUCCCUUUCCAGCCAUCCUGGGCUGCUUCGGAUUCGCCCAUGCCCCCUACUUUCUCCCCUCUAGGUCUUUACCAUCUGCUAUGCUCUCUGCCUAGAACCUUGCUCCUCUCCACGUUCAUCUGUUAAUUCAUCUUCAGCCCUUGGUGAGCUCCCCGGCAGCUCAUCCUCCCUCCCCAUCCCCUCGGGUCGCCCCCAUCCCAGGUGCAUUAUUCCUGGGUGCCUUCACCUCUACACCCCAUUGCUUGGCACAUAUUGGGUAGUUCAGUAACUGCCUUGGGUGGAAUUAAGAGGUCACCUCCUUUUCUGCAUCUGAUGUGUGGUACUUCUUUUUUUUUUUUUUUUUUUUUUUUGAGACAAGUCUUACUCUGUCACCCAUGCUGGAGUGCAGUGGCGUGGUCUCAGCUCACUACAAACUCUAUCUCCUGUGUUCAAGGAAUUCUCAUGCAUCAGCCUCUUGAAUAGCUAACGUUGCAGGUGCCUGCCACCAUACCUGACUAAUUUUUGUAUUUUUUUGUUGUUAUUGUUGUAGAUAUGUGGUUUCCCCAUGUUGCCAGCUGGCCUCGAACUCCUGGCCUCAAGAUCCACCCGCCUCGACCUCCCAAAGUGCUGGGAUUACAGGUGCGAGCCACCAUGCCCAGCCCUUCCAUUAUUUUGAUGAGCACAGUGAUGAAUGGAUGCUGGUAAAAAAUAAUUUGGAUUUGUUCACUAGCAUUCACUGUGUGGCAGACUUGGUGCCAAAAUGCCUGGGUUCAAACCCGGGCACUUAGCCAGCCGUGUGACCAGGAAACCUCACUUUAUUCAUCCGGUUUGCAGAUUUUCAGAUGAAGUGGUGCCCACCCCGUGUGGAUACUGUGCCACUUUAAUAUGUGUAAAACACACAGGCCAAGUGCAAUGGUGCAUGCCUGUAAUCCCGGCACUUUGGGAGGCCAAGGUGGAGGGAGGAUUGCUUGAGCUCAGGAGUUCGAGACCAGCCUGGGCAACAUAGCGAGACCUCAUCUCUACUAAAAAUAAAAAUAAAAAUAAUUGCCGGGUGUGGUGGCGCGUGCCUGUAGUCCCAGCUACCCGGGUACUUGGGUAGCCAAGAUGGGAGGAUCUCAUGAGCCCCAGAGAUGGAGGCUGCAGUGAGCCAUGACUCCACCACUGCACUCCAGCAAACACCACCACUGUACCUAGUGCACAGUAAGGACCAACAGAAGAGCAGAAGAGUCAGCUGUAGCUGAUAAUUAGCUUAUUGUUUUCACUUUUUUUUUUUUUUGAGAUGGAGUCUCGCUCUGUCACCCAGGCUGGAGUGCAGUGGCACGAUCUUGGCUCACUGCAAUCUCCGCCUCCCGGGUUCAAGCAAGUCUCCUACCUCAGCCUCCCGAGUAGCUGGGAUUACAGGCGUCAAAAACUUGGCACCACGCCUGGCUAAUUUUUAUAUUUUUUGUAGAGACAAGGUUUCGCCAUGUUGGCCAGGCUGGUCUCAAACUCCUGACCUCAGGUGAUCUGCCCGCCUCAGCCUCCCAAAGUGCUGGGAUUACAGGCGUGAGCCACCACACCCUGUUUUCAUUUUUCUAUAAUAUAUUCCGUAUAUUCCGUUAGCCACUUGUUUCUGUACAAAUUCCCGGCUUGCUCUCCUCCACUUCUUUGUAUGGCAUAGCAAACUCUACAAGAGGAUGAAGCUGCUCCCUGAGGGCAGGGAUGGCCCUGACUCAUCUGGCUCACUCAGAAUCCCAGCACCUAGAACAGUACCAGGUAGGGGGAGGGCCUCAGUAAAUCUCUUUUGAAUGAAUGCUCUGGGACAUUUUAUAAUUAUGGCAGUAGAUAAUAAUAACUGAUAGAGUUUUAGAUUUAUGUUACUGCUAUUGUCAACUGGAAGUUGAAUAAAUAUUUUUACAGCAGAAAAAGUCACCUCCUCCAUGAAGUCCUCUUGAUGUGAACGCGUCCACUCUGAUCCCCUCCUGCUUUCCUGAAGGAGGCUCUCUGCACUGGAAUGUGGCCAUCUAAAUUUCCAGCAGUAUGUUCCUCUCCUCAUUCUACCCACCCAAGACUCUGUGUCAAGGAGUCAGCGACCAAUAAAUAGUCAUGAAUAUGCUGUGUUUGCCUCAGCAUUAAAAGAAGGCUUCGGCUGGGCGCAGUGGCUCACGCCUGUAAUCCCAGCACUUUAGGAGGCCGAGGUUGGGGGAUCACCUGUGGUCAGGAAUUCAAGACCAGCCCAGCCAACAUGGUCAAACCUCGUCUCUACUAAAAAUACAAAAUCAGCCAGGCGUGGUGGUGGGCGCCUGUAAUCCCAGCUAUUUGGAAGGGGCUGAGGCAGAAGAAUCACUUGAACCCAGGAGUCUGAGGUUGCCGUGAGCUGAGAUCGCGCCACUGCACUCCAGCCUGGGCAACAAGAGUGAAACUCUGUCUUAAAAAAAAAAAAAGGCGGCUUCCUGGACAUACAGUCACCCUUUAGUUUCAUGUGGUGAGUUAGAGGAGGUGUUUAUCAGCCACAGGCAGGAUGCACUGGCUGAUAGCAUUAGGACAGUGACUCAUUUAAAGGAAUCUUUGGGAAUCUCCUCAAUGGAAAAAGCUUCCUCACCAAAUCUUCCUGGCUUUGUACAUUGGGAUUUUGAAGUUUGGAUUUUCUGCUCUCAAGGUAGCUCAAAGCAGCUACCCUGAGUCACCAUGCCACCUCAUUUACUAACAGGCUCUCAUUCAACACCUGAGCUGUGCCUGGCAUAUGGGUACAUGUUUAAGAAAUAUCUCUGACCACGUGUGGUGGCUCACGCCUGUAAUCCCAGCACUUUGGGAGGCCGAGGCCGAGGCUGGUGGAUUAUUUGAGGUCAGGAGUUCAAGACCAGCUUGGCCAACAUGGUAAAACCCCAUCUCUACUAAAAAUACAAAAACUGGCUAGGCGUGGUGGUGCACGCCUGUAAUCACAGCUACUUGGGAGGCUGAGACAGGAGAAUUGCUUGAACCUGGGAGGUGGAGCUUGCAGUGAGCUGAGAUCGUGCCAUUGCACUCCAGCCUGGGUGACAGAGCAAGACUUCAUCUCAAAAAAAAAGAAAGAAAUAUCUCUUGGCCAGAUGCAGUGGCACACACCUGUAAUCCCAGCACUUUGGGGGACCAAGGUAAGAGGAUUGCUUGAAGCCAGGAGUUAGAGAGCAGCCUGGGCAACAUAGCAAGACCCCAUUUCUACAGAAGACUCUACGGAGUAUGACUCAGGGCACCUGUUUUCAGCUACUCUGCAUGUGCCUAUAGUCCUAGCUACUCAGAAGGCUGAGGUGGGAAGAGCCCUGAGCCCAGGAGUUCAAGGCUGCAGUGAGCUACGAUCAUGCCCCUGCACUCCAGCCUGGGUGACAGGUGAAUUUUUCUUCUUGUCUCUAAAAAAAAUAAUAAUAAACAAUUUAAAAUAAUAAAAAUAAAAAAUGAAUAUCUCUUUAACCAAAGAGCGAAUUCAGCACACUCACCGAGGAUUUGCUUACAUUGCAAGCCCUAUAGCUACAGAGAAACUGAGCGUUGCAGAUAAGAUGAACCCACACAUAACUAGACUAACAGGUAAAUGAGGACCAGCAUCCCAAGAAGCACAAAUCCAAACAGUACCCAUUUCCUGAACACCUGCACAUGCUGUUCAUGUUGCCUCCCAAUAGUCCCCAAAGCUAAGUGCUGUCACCCCAUAUAACAGAGAGGUUAAAUGACUAAGACCUCGGUACCAAAAAGUGGGGACACAGGAUGAACCUCCAAAACAUGCUAACUAAAAGAAGCCAAACGUAAUAUGGGUCCAUUUAUAUGAAAUGUCCAAAAUACAUAAAUCCAGAGAACAGUUGCCAGGGGCUGGAGGGCAGGUUGGGAGGUGGUGACUGCUUCAUGGGUGUGAGAUUUUCUUGGGGGCUGAUGGAAGUCUUUUGGAACUAGGUAGAGGUGCUUGCACAACAUUGUAAAUCAACUAGAUGACACCAAAUUGUUUACCUUUUAUAAAUCUCACCUCAAUUAAAAAAACAAUUGUCGGUCGGGUGCAGUGCUCACACCUGUAAACCCAGACUUCGGGAGGCCGAGGCAGGCAGAUCACGAGGUCAGGAGAUCGAGACCAUCCUGGCUAAUGCAGUGAAAACCUGUCUCUACUACAAAUAUAAAAAAUUAGCCGGGCAUGGUGGCACAUGCCUGUAGUCCCAGCUAUCGGGAGGCUGAGGCAGAAGGAUCCCUUGAACCCAGGAGAGGGAGGUUGCAGUGAGCUGAGAUCAUGCCACUGCACUCCAGCCUGGGCAACACAGAGAGACUCAGCCUCAAAAUAAAAAAAAAAUAAAAAAAAUAAAUUUAAGUGGUGGGAAAGAAACCAAAAAAGAAAUAAAUGAAUAAAUAAAUAAAUAAAUAAAUACAAAAGGUGGAGGCCCUGGGUGGGGUUCAAGCCCAGACUGAUCUGACCCACAGCUCCACUGAAGGCUGUUUCCAAAGAGGGAGGCAUGCUCUCCAAGCCUGGCUCCGCCCCCAUUAGACCCAAAUGGGACCGGAGGCUCUCCUUACCCUCUACCCCCAGCUGGCCCAGGGCCUACCUCGAAGAGCCAAAUGAGGAGCGUGACGACACCCAUGGAGUUCAUGA